UCGGGAAUUUUGGGCAAUGGGCGAAAGCCUGACCCAGCAACGCCGCGUGAGGGAUGAAGGCCUUCGGGUCGUAAACCUCUGUCGGGAGGGACGAAAGGUCGACGAGCGAAUAGGUCGGCGGCUUGACGGUACCUCCAAAGGAAGCGCCGGCUAACUCCGUGCCAGCAGCCGCGGUAAUACGGAGGGCGCAAGCGUUGUUCGGAAUUACUGGGCGUAAAGCGCGUGUAGGCGGCCAGGUAAGUCGGAUGUGAAAGCCCGGGGCCUAACCCCGGAACUGCACCCGAUACUGCCUGGCUGGAGUCCCGGAGAGGAUGGCGGAAUUUCCGGUGUAGAGGUGAAAUUCGUAGAUAUCGGAAGGAACACCAGUGGCGAAGGCGGCCAUCUGGACGGUGACUGACGCUGAGACGCGAAAGCGUGGGGAGCAAACAGGAUUAGAUACCCUGGUAGUCCACGCCGUAAACGUUGGGUGCUAGACGUCGGGGGUAUUGACCCUCCGGUGUCGAAGCUAACGCAUUAAGCACCCGCCU
rnacentral:rRNA from 1 species